rnacentral:lncRNA from 1 species
UCAGAGAAGAGACAGGGAGAAAAACGAGGAAGACGACCUUGGGUUUCCUAGCCUGCACAGCCAGUGCCAAGCUGCUUUCAUAUAUCCCUCAAGGCAAAACAGCCUUCCUAGGAGACUUCUACAGGAAUUUCGACUGCUCUGUUAACAGGACAAGUGUUCAAAGACCAAAAGGAAACCUUGCUGGAUGUGUUUUCAGAGGUUCUCAGUACACAAGAAUUUCUUGGAACUUCGAACCGUCUGCUCAGAUCAGUUACAGAGGCUGGGGACGACAUAGAUGAUGCAAAUCAUGGUAUUUGGUCAUUUUGAAGGA